AUUGGGGCGCACAGAGGUGUUCAUUGCUCAGUCUGUCCUACCCUCGACCUUUCCAGUCCUUCCCUCAUCCACUGUUCCCGUUCCUGGAAUAAAGCCUGGUUUCUGGAGAGAACCUAGGACUCUGAGCUUCCUCCUUGCCUUCAUCGGGCACCCACGAUGCACCUGAAGCCACAUUUCCUGAGGGCUAACAGGCUCUGAAGGUUCGGUCUGGGACAAACAUCUCCCAGACCGUUCCCCACUCCCGGCGCUGCCAGCGGCUAGGGAGAAGGAGCUAGCCAGGGCAAGGAAAGCCGCGGCAGGGGCAGCGUCAGUGUAUAUUAAUUGUGCUAUGCUAGUGGAAGUCUCAUGUUUAUUCCUUCUUAUAAUUUUGGGAAGGAGCUGGAGGGAGAAGAUAGAUGAAGUGAUGAGUGGUCUUUUCUGGAGGGUGCUGAAUAUGAAGCAAAUUCAUUUGGGUUGCUGCUCACCUGCCUUUGCAUGGAAAUACAGAUACAUAUUAUUCAACGUACCUCAUGUACAUUUCAGCUCUUGCACCCAGCGCUGUGCUAAGCCUCUUGAAAUCAGUUGUCUACCCUUUUCUAUGGAAAUGUGUCUUCCAAAGAGCUGAGCACCCACUCCCUGACAGAGGCUGUGUGCUAAUCAGGUUGUCAUUACAAAGGCCACAGAGGUAACUGUGCAAUUCUCUGCCAAAGUUAACAUGAGGGAUCGCUGCUGGGAAGGGCUGUUGUCCCAGGCAGUCACAGCGCAGUGCCUGCUAGGAAAAAAAAAGCACAGCAAUUUAGUGUGCUGGACAGAAGAAGAUCACACUGAUACAGACUUCUAACAUAAAGAGAGAAUUGGAUGAAAAAUGACUGACUGGACAGACUCCUUUUCAGAUGGAAAGCAGAGAAUGUGUCAAAUGUCUCACCGACAUCACUGAAAAUAUCAUGAGGUCCUUCUGGCAGCUAUUGGAGCAGCCACAGAAACUGGAAUUAUCUCUACAAGCUCUUAUCAGUGAGAUGUUAGGGGACUCUAUGGAUGUUACAAAUUAGCUGACGUAGAAAUAUGUUCGGUUUCUUUAGUCCCUUUUUUAGGAAAUUGGGAAAUAAAGGGGAAUGUAUAGAACAAAACAGUAAUAUAUUAAAAAAUAGGUUAGCUACUACUUCUGAUUUGAACACCAUAUAUUUUAUUUAUAACCUUGGCCUUUUAAUGCGACUAAAUAUUUUAAUGUAUUCUUAUUAAACCUUCAUAUUUGUGAUAUUUUGGGGUGACUUAAGUAGUUAAAACUAUGUCCUAUUUUCAUUAUUUUAUCAGUCAUCAGGAGACAAGGCUUGUUUUAAUUUGGAUUUGAAUCCUACCAUAGCAUCUGAAAAAUUACUCGUUGAUGCAGAGAUUUACCUUUUCCCACAGUGAAAUUGAGGUGUUCUGCUACUUUCACGUGGUCUGGUUUUGACAGUUUUGACAAUAAAAGGAAAAAAAUCAUUAAUAGGAAACAAGUUUAAAAAAGCUGUUAAUUGACAUAGUUUUCUAUAAGGCAGUCCAUUAAGAGACUUUUUAUUUUUUUGUGGUUUUAGUGUAGAAUAACUUGAAAUGUGUCUUGAUUGGCAGUUCUAAACUUGGCUGAUGGCAGAUGAUUUCUCUGCCUGUUCAGACUUUCACAGGUUCAUUGGCUGUGGAAGUUAGCAUUGGUAGAAGUUCUGCUUUUUCACGGUUAGACCUCCAAGUAAUAAAUCUUCAAGAAAAAUAAUAUGUAUCAGCAUAGGGAAUGUUCUAAUCUCACACAUAAAAUAAAUUGCUGUUUUAAAUCCCAUCUGAACUUUUGUAUAUAAAAACUGCCUUUCUCCUUUGUUUUGCUAGUGUGUAUUUGUAUGUGCUUAUGCAACGAUUGAAGUACACAUUUACUUGGAGAACCUGUGGUCAUUGAAAAUAAAUGGGUGUGUAGAGUGGGUGAGAGCAAAAAUGAGUGUAGUUAUUUUUAACAUGGAUUAUUCAAAGAAUUUGGGACUUUCCUUUAGUGAAAAGGGAGACAUAUUUCCAAUUUCCUCCUAUUGCAUUACUAAUCAGGUAACACUGGGAACUAAAAUUGGACAGAGGAAAUGAUGGAGGCAUGGGAGGGUUUUCCUUUCAUUUGAUGUCUGAGAGAGAACAGAGACAACCAGGGUUUCAAUUUUCUUUGUUUGCUUGCUUUACAUACUUUAGAAGCAAAAAAAAAAACCAACAAGAUAAUAACUUUUUGAUGUUAAGCACCCAAUUUGAAAUCACCAAAAAAUAAAAAUGAAAAUUACUGAUUAGGACUUCACACAGCCAAAUGAAUGUAUUGCUUGAGGAAUAACUAUGAGUGAACAAUUAUUUGUCUGUUACCAUACUUUUCAUUUGGCACUUCAUGUACCACUCUGAGAAAUUAUUAGAAACAAAGAGAAAUGCAAUGCUACUUGGCAUAUAAAGCAUAAAUACUUACUCUAAUACAACACUUCAUUUCAUGUGCCAAAAGAAAAAGAUAAAUUAUUCCUCUUUUGUACAUUACACAUAUUAUAGAUGGCAAUAGAGAUGAUAUAUAAAAUAUUUCAGCUCUAGCAACAGCAUACAAAACCAAACACUGUCAUCCAGAAUCUAGAAGUGCUUUAGAAAGAUAGACAAGCAUUUUAUUUCCAUUUUGAACACUAGCAAGCAAAGACCAAAUGUAUUAAGCAGUCCAUGUAACGUCACAUGAAUCAGUCACAGAGUCUGCGUUUGAAACUUCUAAAAAUACACCGAUUCAUUAGCUCAUGGAUUUCUUGUCAGUGUCUUGAGCUUCUAAAGUAUUCAUCCUUUCCCUACCACUCCACACCUCCAAUUUUUAUGCUGUAAUCCUAUCAAUUUUCUUUAUCCUACUGUGUAACAUUUCAACUUUCAGAUUAAAAGUAUUUUAAUACA